UACGUAGGUGGCAAGCGUUAUCCGGAAUUACUGGGCGUAAAGGGUGCGCAGACGGCGAUGCAAGCCAGGAGUGAAAGCCCGGGGCCCAACCCCGGGACUGCUCUUGGAACUGCGUGGCUGGAGUGCAGGAGGGGCAGGCGGAAUUCCUGGUGUAGCGGUGAAAUGCGUAGAUAUCAGGAGGAACACCGGUGGCGAAGGCGGCCUGCUGGACUGCAACUGACGUUGAGGCCCGAAAGCGUGGGGAGCAAACAGG
rnacentral:rRNA from 1 species